GGAAGCGUGCCUGAAAGCUAAGGGCCUCCUUGAUAGGGAGGACCAUAGGAGUUCAAACCUCCUCACUUCCUU
rnacentral:tRNA from 1 species